GUAGGAUAUGGAGAUUAUGUACCUGUAGGAACAUUUGGUAAAAUUCUGGGUGGUUUCUGUGCUAUCUCUGGGGUAUUAACUAUAGCUCUACCAGUUCCAGUUAUUGUAGCCAAU
rfam:Lottia gigantea unplaced genomic scaffold LOTGIsca_34, whole genome shotgun sequence.